AUUGAACGCUGGCGGAAUGCUUUACACAUGCAAGUCGAACGGCAGCACGGACUUCGGUCUGGUGGCGAGUGGCGAACGGGUGAGCAAUGUAUCGGAACGUGCCCAGUCGUGGGGGAUAACGUAGUGAAAAUUACGCUAAUACCGCAUACGAUCUAUGGAUGAAAGCGGGGGAUCGCAUGACCUCGCGCGAUUGGAGCGGCCGAUAUCAGAUUAGGUAGUUGGUGGGGUAAAGGCCCACCAAGCCAACGAUCUGUAGCUGGUCUGAGAGGACGACCAGCCACACUGGAACUGAGACACGGUCCAGACUCCUACGGGAGGCAGCAGUGGGGAAUUUUGGACAAUGGGCGAAAGCCUGAUCCAGCCAUUCCGCGUGCAGGAUGAAGGCCCUCGGGUUGUAAACUGCUUUUGUACAGAACGAAAAGGUUUCUACUAAUACUAGGAGCUCAUGACGGUACUGUAAGAAUAAGCACCGGCUAACUACGUGCCAGCAGCCGCGGUAA
rnacentral:rRNA from 1 species